rnacentral:rRNA from 1 species
UACAGAGGUGGCGAGCGUUAUUCGGAAUUAUUGGGCGUAAAGGGCGCGUAGGCGGCCAAGCAAGUCCUGGGUGAAAUCCCUCGGCUCAACCGAGGAACUGCCUCGGAAACUGCAUGGCUCGAGGCCGGGAGAGGGUAGCGGAAUUCCCAGUGUAGCGGUGAAAUGCGCAGAUAUCAGGAGGAACACCAAUGGCGAAGGCAGCACUCUGGGACGUGACUGACGCUGAGACGCGAAAGCGUGGGGAGCAAACAGG